rnacentral:rRNA from 1 species
UACAGAGGGGGCAAGCGUUGUUCGGAAUUACUGGGCGUAAAGGGCGUGUAGGCGGUCAGGUAAGUGGGAUGUGAAAUGCCCCCGGCUCACCCGGGGACCGGCAUCCCAUACUGCUUGGCUUGAGUACGGGAGAGGAUGUGGGAAUUCCUGGUGUAGCGGUGAAAUGCGUAGAUAUCAGGAGGAACACCGGUGGCGAAGGCGCACAUCUGGCCCGAUACUGACGCUGAGGCGCGAAAGCUAGGGGAGCAAACGGG